AUGCUGCGGGACUGCCACCUGCUCAGAGACACAGAGAUGGGGAUGUGCAUAGUCUGGUGUGCAGCCAUGUAUCUCUUGGGAGCAAAACAAGCAGAUGCUAAGAUAACCCAAACACCGAGUCUAGUACUGGAGAGAGGACAGACGGCCUAUCUCAGAUGUGAACAAACCUAUGGUCACUACAAUAUGUUCUGGUACCGGCAGGAUCCAGGGCAGGGACUGCAGCUGCUCUUUAACUUCUACAAUAAAGAAGAAAGAGAGAAAGGCACAAGUUCUAGUCAAUUCCAGGCCGACCAGCCGCAGGAUGAUCUCUUUCUCUUGAACAUCUCGUCUGUGCAGCCAGAGCACUCGGCUGUGUAUUUCUGCGCCAGCAGGCUCCCAGGAAGCAGCAUGAAUGUCGUGCCUCCAGCUUCUAGGAAGGUGAUUGCUGUGUCUGCUGUAUUCCACGAGCUGUGA